UUUGGAUCCAGCUGUCUUUUACAGUCUGUUGAUCACAGCUAACUGAAAUCGUGGAAAGGGAAAGCUUGGAUAAAGGGUGACUACUGUACUAAGGUAAGGCAAUGAGUUUCCAAAAGUCUUCUCAGUGCAAUCAUUGAGAAAACUUUGAUAGGCAGUCAAGAAGUUUACACAGAAAUAAAAAAAAACUUGAGCAAUAAUAGUUCCCUGAUUAAAGUUCAAUUUGA